CACGUAGGGGGCAAGCGUUGUCCGGAUUUAUUGGGCGUAAAGAGCUCGUAGGCGGUUUCGUAAGUCGGAUGUGAAAACUCCAGGCUCAACUUGGAGACGCCAUUCGAUACUGCGAUGACUUGAGUCCGGUAGGGGAGUGUGGAAUUCCUGGUGUAGCGGUGAAAUGCGCAGAUAUCUGGAGGAACACCGGUGGCGAAGGCGGCAUCCUGGACCAACACUGACGCUGAGUGAGCGAAAGCCAGGGGAGCAAACGGG
rnacentral:rRNA from 1 species